AAUCGAGCAGAGAGAAUCAUUUUCUCGUAUUCUUCUUCUUUCUUUCUUCUUCUUUCAGCUUCUCUUCUCUUUUCUUCCUCCGUUUACCUUUUUCUACGAGUUUGUGAUAUAUUUAACGGAGGUUGGUGAUCGGAAGGAGGAGGAGAAGACCAUGGAGUGGUUUGUAGUGAUGAUGUUAUCUGUUGUUGAUUCAGAUUCGAAGGAGAUAAUGAAUUAAGAGUUAGGGUUUCUGAGAAAUCAAUUGGAGUUCGAUUAGGUGAUGAUUAAGAGGAGCAUUGAAGCAUGGUUUUGCAUUAAUUGAAGAUUUGGAUUGAGAUUUUGAUCUCAUGUGAAUUAGAAGCUCAUGCAACCGUAAUUGUAAUUAGGGUUUUGUCUUGUAUUUGAGAUUAAAAAGUUAGGGAAUUAAGGUUUGAUUGAAAUGUAAAUCGAAUAAGUAAACAAAAUUGUUGGAUGGGUUUAGUCGAUUUGAGAACUUGAGUUAAUGGUUGAACAGAUUCAAGGAUUUGGGGAUUAUUUAGGGUCUUCACAGUUGAUGUUCUUGGAAUUGUUCAUAGGAGGUAGGAAGAAGCAAUAUUAGUUAUGAUUCUCAAAUGAAUAGCUAGAGUUCACGGAUUGAAAUUACAAGUGAAGAAUGUUCUAAGAUUUGUUUGAGGUAAAUCUUCUCAACCAAUUUAAGUACUUGUUGUUAUGUUGUUUAAAAUUUAGAAUUAGUAUAACUAAAUUGGGAUAAUUGAGCGAAUGUAUGAGUUGGUUAUGGAAUGAAGUUUGGUUGUUAUUUUGAAAUACAGGGUCUCUGUGAAUUUAAUUGGGAAUGGAAAUUAUGAAUAAGGAUGUUGGGGUAAGUGAACUGUAUUGGAGUUGAGAUGUUAUUAUUGUUGCUGAGGCUGGUGGUGGUAUUGAUUUGAUAUUAGGUUCAUGUAUGGAAUUGCAGUUGAAACAUGAAACUAGUGGUGAUAGUAAAUUAAGAAUGAAUGUAAAGAUCUGGAGUUGGUGCUGUUAUUGUUUGUUAGAGUUUAGAUGUUGUUGUUGUGACAGUAAAGUCACAGUUUCCGUCACUCAGAGAGGUUGAACAGAAUGGGUUGUGGUGGUUCUGGUAUUAUGGGUUAUUAGAGUUGGUUUCUUGAACUGAGAUUACAGCUGUGGUUAGGAUUGUAGUAAUGAACUGAGCUGAACUUGGUAGUGUUACUGUAAUGGCGGUGGGGAAUUUGAGCGACUGGUGAAACUGCAGAUUGUUAGUGUUGAAUUAAGUUGAAGGGGUAAUGGAGUUGGUAUCUCAAAGGAGAUUGAGAAUAAGGGUUGGUUGCAUCUUCUGAGGAUUGAAUGUGCGGAUGAAGAGUGUGGCAGAGAUUUCUAAACUGUAAAUGGAACUGAAGUUGUUGAGUGUGGCUGACAAGAUAGCGCUAGUGGAUUAGUGAAGGAAGUUGUGGUUGUAAAUCUAGGUUUGUGAUUGUAAUACUAGGAGUUAGUACAGAUUUGGAUUGCAAUUGAUUUAUGAAGUGGAGCUUGCCUUGUAUGUAAAUGAAGUUGUAGAUAGUAGUGACUGUAUGGUUGUAGCUGGAAGCUUCAACGAGGCCUUGCAUCUGAUAUUUCAGGGGAUGAACCAGUGGAUCGUGGAUCUCGAGGUAGGCGUGGCUUGUCAUCAAAAGAGUUUCAGGGACAGAUCACAGUUGCGCAGCAAAAGCUUCAAGGGUUGAUUUCGUUAGUUGGUUAACUUCUGCUAUGUUUAUUAUGUUGCAUAUUAUAUUUGUAAACCAAAUGACUAUUGUAUAUGUAUCAUUUGAGAGGAGUUCUUGUAUAUAUAUAUAUUUCUGAGCGGGGCUAGUUUUUGGCUAAGUUUUGUAGCAGAUUUUUAAUUGAAUGUUUAAGUAAA